rnacentral:rRNA from 1 species
GAUGAACGCUGGCGGCGUGCCUAAUACAUGCAAGUCGAGCGAACAGACGAGGAGCUUGCUCCUCUAACGUUAGCGGCGGACGGGUGAGUAACACGUGGAUAACCUACCUAUAAGACUGGGAUAACUUCGGGAAACCGGAGCUAAUACCGGAUAAUAUAUUGAACCGCAUGGUUCAAUAGUGAAAGACGGUUUUGCUGUCACUUAUAGAUGGAUCCGCGCCGCAUUAGCUAGUUGGUAAGGUAACAGCUUACCAAGGCAACGAUGCGUAGCCGACCUGAGAGGGUGAUCGGCCACACUGGAACUGAGACACGGUCCAGACUCCUACGGGAGGCAGCAGUAGGGAAUCUUCCGCAAUGGGCGAAAGCCUGACGGAGCAACGCCGCGUGAGUGAUGAAGGUCUUCGGAUCGUAAAACUCUGUUAUUAGGGAAGAACAAAUGUGUAAGUAACUAUGCACGUCUUGACGGUACCUAAUCAGAAAGCCACGGCUAACUACGUGCCAGCAGCCGCGGUAAUACGUAGGUGGCAAGCGUUAUCCGGAAUUAUUGGGCGUAAAGCGCGCGUAGGCGGUUUUUUAAGUCUGAUGUGAAAGCCCACGGCUCAACCGUGGAGGGUCAUUGGAAACUGGAAAACUUGAGUGCAGAAGAGGAAAGUGGAAUUCCAUGUGUAGCGGUGAAGUGCGCAGAGAUAUGGAGGAACACCAGUGGCGAAGGCGACUUUCUGGUCUGUAACUGACGCUGAUGUGCGAAAGCGUGGGGAUCAAACAGG